rnacentral:rRNA from 1 species
GAUGAACGCUGGCGGCGUGCCUAAUACAUGCAAGUCGAGCGAACGGACGAGAAGCUUGCUUCUCUGAUGUUAUCGGCGGACGGGUGAGUAACACGUGGAUAACCUACCUAUAAGACUGGGAUAACUUCGGGAAACCGGAGCUAAUACCGGAUGAUAUUUUGAACCGCAUGGUUCAAAAGUGAAAGACGGUCUUGCUGUCACUUAUAGAUGGAUCCGCGCUGCAUUAGCUAGUUGGUAAGGUAACGGCUUACCAAGGCAACGAUGCAUAGCCGACCUGAGAGCGAGAUCGGACACACUGGAACUGAGACACGGUCCAGACUCCGACGGGAGGCAGCAGUAGGGAAUCUUCCGCAAUGGGCGAAAGCCUGACGGAGCAACGCCGCGUGAGUGAUGAAGGUCUUCGGAUCGUAAAACUCUGUUAUUAGGGAAGAACAUAUGUGUAAGUAACUGUGCACAUCUUGACGGUACCUAAUCAGAAAGCCACGGCUAACUACGUG